rnacentral:rRNA from 1 species
CACGUAGGGCGCAAGCGUUGUCCGGAAUUAUUGGGCGUAAAGAGCUCGUAGGCGGUCUGUCACGUCGGCUGUGAAAACCCGAGGCUCAACCUCGGGCCUGCAGUCGAUACGGGCAAACUAGAGUGUUGCAGGGGAGACUGGAAUUCCUGGUGUAGCGGUGAAAUGCGCAGAUAUCGGGAGGAACACCAGUGGCGAAGGCGGCGAUCUGGGAAGAUACUGACGCUGAGGUGCGAAAGCGUGGGGAGCAAACAGG